AUCAUGCCAUGCUGCCACUUCUCCAUCGGGCCAUCUUUACUUCUGUACAGAAAAGUGAAAUAGAAGGUUAAUAGGUUGGCCCAAGCCUCACAGCUGAUAAUGACAAGCAGACAGUACCACACUGGUAGCAAACACGAGAGACUUGCAGCCCAGGGGCUCUGAUGUUGAUGGAAUUCCCGAUGAAAUUGAGUUUGGUGAUUAUAGAGUUGACCUGCUUGAAAUAAAGAUACCAC